GUCUACGGCCAUGCCACCCUGAACAAGCCUGAUCCUGUCUGAUCUCGGAAACUUAGCAGGGUCGGGCCUGGUUAAUACUUGGAUGGGAGACAACCUAGGAAGACCAGGUGCUGUAGGCA
rnacentral:rRNA from 1 species